rnacentral:tRNA from 1 species
GAUGGUCGAGAGGCAAGAACACUUGACUCUCACCCUAAAGUCCCGGGUUCGAAUCCCGGCCGUGGUACU